UACGGAGGAUGCGAGCGUUAUCCGGAUUUAUUGGGUUUAAAGGGUGCGUAGGCGGUCCGUUAAGUCAGCGGUAAAAUUGCGGGGCUCAACCCCGUCGAGCCGUUGAAACUGGCAGACUUGAGUUGGCGAGAAGUACGCGGAAUGCGCGGUGUAGCGGUGAAAUGCAUAGAUAUCGCGCAGAACUCCGAUUGCGAAGGCAUCUCACGAAUCCGCGAUUGACGCUGAUGCACGAAAGCGUGGGUAUCAAACAGG
rnacentral:rRNA from 1 species